AUCAGGUCUCAACAUCAACACUGGCACGCAUCCUAAAAAAAAACAUAUUCAAAUGAAGCAAAUUUAUCGAGUGCCUUUCGAGCGCAAUUCCGAAAGGGUGAAACGACUGCGGCAUGAUUAUGCAGAGAGAGUUUUACGAAUGGAUGGAGAGGAGGUCCAGCAUGAGUUCAUUUACGUAGAUGAGGCUGGGUUCCACCUGACGAGAACACGAAGGAGGGGAAGAAACAUCAUUGGCCACAGGGCUAUAGUCAAUGUCCCAGGGCAACGUGGGGGUAAUAUAGCACUCUGUGCAGCCAUUACACAGAAUGGGGUCCUCCACCGCCAUGCCCAUAUGGGCCCUUACAACACACUUACAUUCUUGGACCAAUUGCACAACAUAACAGCAGCAAAUCAAAUCGAUCAUAUGCAAUACAUUGUUGUCUGGGACAAUGUGUCUUCAGCAACAUCCUCAUUUCACCGUCCUAUAUCUUCCACCAUACUCUCCAUUCCUCAACCCUAUAGAAGAGUUUUUCUCGGCAUGGCGGUGGAAGGUAUAUGAUCUCCGUCUCCAGGCUGAGGUACCCCUCAUCCAAGCCAUGGAGGAGGCCUGUGACCAGAUGGAGGUAGCAGCAAUGCAAGGAUGGAUUCGUCAUUCAAGACGUUUCUUUCCAAGGUGUCUUGCUAAUGACAACAUUGCCUGCGAUGUUGAUGAAAUUCUCUGGCCAGAUCCAGCUAGGCGAAGAGACAAUGUCUAGUUUUUUUUUUUUUUUUUUUUUUUUUU